rnacentral:lncRNA from 1 species
GUGAGCCCAGCGCCUGGCUUGGCAGGUCGGGCUUUCUGCUCUGUGUGGCUUGCUGGUGGCGUGGGUCUACUCUGCGUCCCCUACCACGGCGUGAAUCCCUGUCCUAGAUGUUUCUUUACGACUCAUCUCUUUCACGAGCGUGACCGGUAACCGACGGCCUCGGAGAGCUUCCAAGUCGCCAUUUUUGGUUGGUGCCUUUGUGGUGCUAUAAGGAUGGGACCGCAGUUCUGCAUAGAUACCAACUAUGGGACUCUCAACCAGCACGAGAACUUGGAGACUAGAGAAGCUGAUUGUGCCUAUUAGUUAAUCUGUAGUCAACAUACACUUGGACGAGAGCUGUCUGUGAGGGACUGGUUCAGUCCCUCACUUGGAGUAUGUCAUGUAAUAGUGGAAGAAACGUGAAAUUCCUAAGGGAUGUAGGUUCUCAACUUGAAUUGAAAAUUCUUACUCCAAAGCCCGGGCUGGUACAGUAACUGUUAAACCACUAAGCCCUGAGAUUUUUUUUUUUUUUUUUUUGCUAGGCAUGUAAGCAACAGGCAGUUUCAGUCCCCGGCAAGGAUUCUUAGUAAAAUAGAGAUCUCGCAAACGAGUGUAUAGAAGUCUGACAUCUCAGAGCUAUCAACGGUUCCUGCCCAUAAAGAAUCCAUUCUAUCUUUGUAUCUUCAUCCCAUUAGGCUCAUCCACCCUCUUGGUCCAAAAUCCUGGAUGCAAGGGCUUAACCAUUAAGUGGCAAACUGUUUAUAACCUUAUUUUUCUUUUUGGAUUUAUUUUAUGCGGAAAAGUGUUUUGUCUGCAUUUAUAUAUGUACACCAUGUGCAUUCCUGGUGCACAAAGAGGUCAGAAGAGGGUAUCUGAAGCCUUGCAAUUGAAGUUACAGAUAGUUGUGAGCCACCAUGUGACUGCUGGCAUUGACCCAGGCCCUCUGCAAGACUGCCAGGUUCGAGAGAAAGCCACCUCUCAAGCCCCAGCUUUAUUUUUCUAUCAUGGUUCUCAGAGUUUGGCCAAUCAGUUUUUGUGCUUGCAUCCUUGGAUGUACUAAACUGUUUUUUUGUUUUUGUUUUUGUUUUUUGCUGUGUGCUGGGUAUAUCCUGUUGGGGAAGUCAGUCAUCAUUGUCCUUAAGAGUUUACUGGCCUCGGACUCAGAAAUCUGCCUGUUUCUGCCUCCCAAGUGCUGGGAUUAAAGGCGUGCACCACCACGCCCGGCUUCACCAGUUUCAACUACACCUCUUCCCAUUUAUGAAUCUCCUUUCUUUUGUAGCUCCUACUUUAUAAAGGGCAGGGAACUCCAUACGUUAUUAAAGUGUAAUGCCCAACA